rnacentral:lncRNA from 1 species
ACCCCACCUUCCAAAGCAAUGACACCUAUUUCUCUUCCUCUUUCAGGAUCCACAAGGUCCCCUGAGAGGUGUUGGGGACCUGGGUCCUCCUGGAGAGAAGGUAAUUGGGAAAGGGCUGAAGGGGAUGAAGGGACCAGUCUUGUGGAUGAGGAAUGAGAGUUGGAUUUCUGCCAAUUUUUGUUGAGGAGACAAAAGAGAAUAAAAUGUGGAGAAUACCAGGAUUUUGUGAGGGGGAAAUGAAGUUUUUGACCCCAAUCUCUUGGCUGCUGGAGCCAGGAGAGACAGGAUCUCCAGGAAUCCAGGGGUCUUGGUUUUCCUGGAGACCCUGGCCUCCUGUAAGAAGGUAGCUCAUGAUCAGGACAGUGUUAAGGGUGACUACGGCAAGGAUGGUGAGCCAAGACAGCCUGUGAGUGACCAAUGACCCUGCCACCUCCAUUGAGCUCCAGCCUUCAGUCCAUUACCCCUCUCUUCUGUGCCCCACUCCUGAGGGGUCCCUUGGCUGGAGGCCAACACUCACCUACCCCAAUUCCUCUCGUUCUGUGGAUCCUCUGGUUCCACUGGGGAGAAUGGACUACCUGGACCACAUGGA